rnacentral:tRNA from 1 species
GGUGGCUUAAUUCAGUGGUUAGAGCUUGUCUUGUGACCGGAAGGUCCCGGGUUUGAAUCUCGCCGGCGCCG